rnacentral:rRNA from 1 species
AUGACAAAUAUGGUUCGAUGGCUCUUCUCUACUAACCACAAGGAUAUUGGGACUCUCUAUUUCAUCUUCGGUGCCAUUGCAGGAGUGAUGGGCACAUGCUUCUCCGUACUGAUUCGUAUGGAAUUAGCCCGACCCGGCGAUCAAAUUCUUGGUGGGAAUCAUCAACUUUAUAAUGUUUUAAUAACGGCUCAUGCUUUUUUAAUGAUCUUUUUUAUGGUUAUGCCGGCGAUGAUAGGUGGAUUUGGUAAUUGGUUUGUUCCGAUUCUGAUAGGUGCACCUGACAUGGCAUUUCCACGAUUAAAUAAUAUAUCAUUCUGGUUGUUGCCACCAAGUCUCUUGCUCCUAUUAAGCUCAGCCUUAGUAGAAGUGGGCAGCGGCACUGGGUGGACAGUCUAUCCGCCCUUAAGUGGUAUUACCAGCCAUUCUGGAGGAGCAGUUGAUUUAGCAAUUUUUAGUCUUCAUCUAUCAGGUAUUUCAUCAAUUUUAGGUUCUAUCAAUUUUAUAACAACUAUCUUCAACAUGCUUGGACCUGGAAUGACUAUGCAUAGAUUACCACUUUUUGUGUGGUCCGUUCUAGUGACAGCAUUCCUACUUUUAUUAUCACUUCCGGUACUGGCGGGGGCAAUUACAAUGUUAUUAACCGAUCGAAACUUUAAUACAACCUUUUUUGAUCCUGCAGGAGGGGGAGACCCAAUAUUAUACCAGCAUCUCUUUUGGUUCUUCGGUCAUCCAGAGGUGUAUAUUCUCAUUCUGCCUGGAUUUGGUAUUAUUAGUCAUAUCGUAUCGACCUUUUCAAGAAAACCGGUCUUCGGGUAUCUAGGCAUGGUUUAUGCCAUGAUAAGUAUAGGUGUUCUUGGAUUUCUAGUUUGGGCUCAUCAUAUGUUUACUGUGGGCUUAGACGUUGAUACGCGUGCCUACUUCACCGCAGCUACCAUGAUCAUAGCUGUGCCCACAGGAAUCAAAAUCUUUAGUUGGAUCGCUACCAUGUGGGGAGGUUCGAUACAAUACAAAACACCCAUGUUAUUUGCUGUAGGGUUCAUCUUUUUGUUCACCAUAGGAGGGCUCACUGGAAUAGUUCUAGCAAACUCUGGGCUAGACAUUGCUCUACAUGAUACUUAUUAUGUGGUUGCACAUUUCCAUUAUGUACUUUCUAUGGUAGCCGUUUUUGCUUUAUUUGCUGGAUUUUACUAUUGGGUGGGUAAAAUCUUUGGUCGGACAUAUCCUGAAACUUUAGGCCAAAUCCAUUUUUGGAUCACUUUUUUCGGGGUUAAUCUGACCUUCUUUCCCAUGCAUUUCUUAGGGCUUUCGGGUAUGCCACGUCGCAUUCCAGAUUAUCCAGAUGCUUACGCCGGAUGGAAUGCUCUGAGCAGUUUCGGUUCUUAUAUAUCCGUAGUUGGGAUUCGUCGUUUCUUCGUAGUUGUCGCAAUCACUUCAAGCAGUGGAAAGAACCAAAAAUGUGCGGAAAGUCCUUGGGCUGUUGAACAGAAUCCAACCACACUAGAAUGGUUGGUACAAAGCCCUCCGGCCUUUCAUACUUUUGGAGAACUUCCUGCGGUAAAAGAGACAAAAAGCUAA